rnacentral:rRNA from 1 species
CACGUAGGGGCCAAGCGUUGUCCGGAUUUAUUGGGCGUAAAGAGCUCGUAGGCGGUUGGGUAAGUCGGGUGUGAAAACUCCAGGCUCAACUUGGGGACGCCACCCGAUACUGCUCUGACUUGAGUUCGGUAGGGGAGUGGGGAAUUCCUGGUGUAGCGGUGAAAUGCGCAGAUAUCAGGAGGAACACCGGUGGCGAAGGCGGGAUCCUGGGCCAGUACUGACGCUGAGGAGCGAAAGCGUGGGGAGCAAACAGG